rnacentral:lncRNA from 1 species
UAAUUAAACAAAUCAAAACGAUAAUUUUUUUUUUUAAACCUUUAAAAUUCCAACAAGGGUAAAGUUACUAUGGAAAUACCAGCAGAUAUGCGGGAGCUCAAUCAAUCUCAGAAUUGAAUGAGAAGCUUGAGAGUUUAGGUAGUGAGCUGAAAGAUGCCAUUCGAAGAUAGGGUGAUGUGCGUUGUGCUAUCCGAGUGGUAGGUUAACUUGAAGCUACUGAUUGUAAUCACCAUGAAACCUUUUUUUCUUACUGCUAUUAGACUAGCUAUGUCAUACAUACCCAAUUCGCUCACUCCCUUACAAAUUUUGAACUGGAUCGGACAUAUCGAAUUGUGGUACAUUAGCGUUCUGGAACAAUACAUUUAGCAAUCCAAAACUUAUAAGGAUUAGAACAAUACAUGAGCGACCUUGCUGCCCAAACUUGAUUGGUUGUUCCACAUCAACUUAAUAGGGUGGUGGGAGAGCGAUAGAGCCUAGAGGGAGCCAUGAAAAGAGAGAAUCAUGGAGAGAAAGCAAUGAAAAGAGAAUCAUGAAAACAAAGAACAAUGAAAGAGUUUUGAAAUUGGGUUAGGGACGAAGAGGUUGGGUUCUUCAAUCUAAUAAAGAAAGUGGUUUUCCAAAGAGGUAAAUGCUGGAAAACAAGGCACGGGCCCUAACGAAGAAUCCUAGAUCGUUUCUCAGGAAUCUCCAAACUAAGAAAGUUCAUUGAAAGGUAAUUUUCAAUUCAUUUCAAAGAAAAAGAUAGCAAUAAUCUCAAAUUCAUAAUAUAUAUAUCCAGACCAAAAAGAAUCUAAUAUAUAUCCUCAGUUUUCUCCAAUGUCUCAAACUUACUAAAAGUUCAUUCUCCAUUUCUAAUCAAUCAUUAUUAAAUAUAUCAACUUAACAACCUACAAAUAUAUACAAAUAUAUGAAGUUCAUUGUCAUGCAAAUGUGACUACAGAAAAAGAAAUGCAUGUUGCAUGAUGUAAAUGUACGCUUACUUAUUGGAAAUCGGGCAAGAGCCAGAAAACAUGUUACAUCUGUUGAAAAAACAACAAUCAGUGACUAAUUAGAAUGAUUAUAUAUUAACAAUAUAUAUAUUUAUUUAUUUAAAUCAAAGAAAUUGUAUUUAUAAUAAAUUGUAAUUCAAAAUACAGUAAACAAAUAAUAAAUAAAAUUAACUUGGAUUCGAGAUAGAGGCUUGCAGAUUUGAUGCAAUAUCCUAAAGACAGUAAUUUCACAU